rnacentral:misc_RNA from 1 species
GAUGAAGAACGUAGCGAAAUGCGAUACUUGGUGUGAAUUGCAGAAUCCCGUGAACCAUCGAGUCUUUGAACGCAAGUUGCGCCUCAAGCCAUUAGGUUGAGGGCACGUCUGCCUGGGCGUCACAUAUCGUUGCCUGAUGCCAGUUUCCUCGUGAUGGGUGACUGUGCAGGGCGAAUGAUGGCUUCCCGUGAGCAUUGUUGCCUCAUGGUUGGUUGAAAAUUGAGUCCUUGGUAGGGAGCGCCGUGAUAGAUGGUGGGUGAGUGACGAACGAGACCCAAUCAUGUGAGACCCCUACCGAAUUUGGCCUUCAUGACCCACAUGCGUCUUUGGAACGCUCAUGACGAGACCUCAGGUCAGGCGGGGCUACCCGCUGAGUUUAAGCAUAUCAAUAAGCGGAGGA